rnacentral:rRNA from 1 species
UACGUAGGUGGCGAACGUUAUCCGGAAUUACUGGGCGUAAAGGGUCCGCAGGCGGGUCACCAAGUCCGGCGUGAAAGCUCCCGGCUCAACUGGGAGAGGGCGUUGGAAACUGGUGGUCUUGAAUCCGGGAGAGGGAUGCAGAAUUCCAGGUGUAGCGGUGAAAUGCGUAGAUAUCUGGAGGAAUACCGGUGGCGAAGGCGGCAUCCUGGACCGGCAUUGACGCUGAGGAGCGAAAGCCAGGGGAGCAAACGGG